rfam:Sorghum bicolor cultivar BTx623 chromosome 2, whole genome shotgun sequence.
GUUGUCGGAUUCAUUUAAAUCCAUGUGUGUUGGUGUGGAUUGGGGUGAAAUUUAGUUACUCCAAUCCAUCUCAACACAUGUGGAUUGAUGUGAAUCCGACU